AUACUUACCUGGACAGGGCUAAUGGGUGAUCAAGAAGACCCAUAGCCUAGGUUGGUAGCCUCUAUUGCACUUCGGAGGUGCAUUUGCCUAAGGUCGGCCCCAGUGGUCGAGCCUAUGUCAUAAUUUAUGAUAGCGGGGGCUUGCGUACGCGCAGCCCCCUG